AAACUAGGAUUAGAUACCCUAUUAUUAUGAGCUGUAAAUUGUCAGUAUAUAAAUAUUACGAAAACAAAAAAUUAUGGCGGUACUUUAAGCUUUUCAGAGGAAUUUGCUCUUUUAUGGAUAAAACACCUGAAUCUUACUAAAAUUAGUGAAGUCAGUUUGUAUACCACUAUAAAAGUAAUAAUUUAUUAUUAUUACUUUAAUUUUUGAUUUAAAAAUUAAAUUAAGUCAUGGUGCAGCAAAAAUUUUAGGAUGAAGUGAAUUACAUUUCUUUUAAGAAAAAAAAUAAUGAAAAUUUUAACUUAGGAUUUGAAAGUAAAUAUUUAAUAUAAUGAAAUAUUGAAUUUAGCCCUAAAGUAUGUACAUAUCGCCCGUGUCGUACAAGAUAAGUCGUAACAUAGUA
rnacentral:rRNA from 1 species